rnacentral:tRNA from 1 species
GGUUGUGGCUCAGUGGUAGAAUGUUUGCCUGGCAUGCAUGAGGCACUGAGUUUGAUCCUCAGCACCA